AGGACGAACGCUGGCGGCGUGCUUAACACAUGCAAGUCGAGCGGAAAGGCCCUUCGGGGUACUCGAGCGGCGAACGGGUGAGUAACACGUGAGCAACCUGCCCUUAGCUUCGGGAUAGCUCCGGGAAACCGGAAUUAAUACCGAAUAUGACUGCGGCUGACAUCAGCCACGGUGGAAAGUUUUUCGGCUAGGGAUGGACUCGCGGCCUAUCAGCUAGUGGUGAGGUAACGGCCCACAAGGCGACGACGGGUA
rnacentral:rRNA from 1 species